ensembl:lncRNA
UGGCGGGGCUGGAGGUGCCAGUGAUGGAAGCUCGGAGCUCCAGGCUGACUCUCCUUGCUGAUACAGGAGCAGAGAGACCCGAGGGUCAGAGGAGCAACCACGCCCCAGCCAACACUCAAGGGGAGAGGAUUACACAAGGGCAGGAAUACCCGGAGGCAGCGAUCACUGGAGCCGUGUCAGAAUCUGCCCAUCAUAGCUGGUUUGCACUGAACAAGUUAUGCUUCCAUCUUUCCAGAUGCCUUUAAUUACCUGCCCGUGGCCCUGCGAGACACUGGCCAUAAUAGACUGGACCCGAGUGAUGCCUGGGGCUCAGCCCUGUUAGAUGCUGUGACUCAGGGAGUUUUAAUGGAAGACUCAGAGAAAGGCAAUUAUUCUAAAGGAAUUCUAGGCACUGGGGACACAAUAAUGCGUGAGACGGACAUGGUCUUUGCUUCAUGGCGUGAAACAGGGAGAAGUGGAGAAGGCAAGGAUGAGGACGCAUCAGUGGCCAUGAAACAGCAGCAUCCAUGCGGUUGUGAGAAGAGGGAGAAGGGGCAAAUAAUGCAGGGAAACAGAAGCAGAGGCACAAACCCAGGUGAGCCUCCCCAGGGCAAGCCCAGGUAUAAGGAGAAAUGCAUUCCGUUUACCAGCUUAGCAACCGGCUCAACUCCACUAAAGAGAACCAUCUUUCCUGAAAAUUCUGGAGAUCAAGGUCACAGAUUGAGUUGCUUGCCUGUCAGUGAACCUAGGGGCCAGAGUUCUGAUCAGCCACCUCUGAGUCACCUGCUAGUCUGAAGGAGGAGGGGGACAGAGCUGGGGUCAACUUUACUUAAACCACAUGAAAAGACUCCAGAGCUACGAAGGCAGACAAAAACAACAGCUAUGUGCUAUACACGGAGUUUAGAGGAAGGAAGGGGCGGACUUGUUGGAUACUGAUGUCUGCCUGGGAGGCACCGCUGGACAGAUUUCGGAAAGCCGCUGUCUGGUUCCUGUGCAUCACGGGGCAUUUGAUCUUUGGAGGUUUGCAACACCUACAGGCAGGCCUUUCAGCCUGCUCUGCAUUCUGAGUGCACAGAGCGCCUUUUGGACUCUGGACCAGCAGCUUAAGCCAGAAAGCCAGAUGUUUGUUUCCAUUUUUAACUUAUCUAUUUCUAUAGGAUUAUUUGUUUAAAAAUGUCUAAAUUGGCAAUUCAUUCUCAUUUAUUGUUUCCCAGUUCUCUUAUUUCAGGUCAGAGGACAUUAAAAAAGGAAAUAGAUUCCCUUGACCUUGACUGCAGGUCUCCCCCAGAAUAUCAUUGGAGGUUUCCUGGAGUCCCUGUUGAUGUCUAAUUUUGUUUGCAAAUCUGGCCAAACCGAC